rnacentral:rRNA from 1 species
UACGGAGGGUGCAAGCGUUAUCCGGAUUUAUUGGGUUUAAAGGGUGCGUAGGUGGAAAUUUAAGUCAGUGGUGAAAGUUUGCGGCUUAACCGUAAAAUUGCCAUUGAAACUGAAUUUCUUGAGUAUUUUCGAAGUAUGCGGAAUGUGUUGUGUAGCGGUGAAAUGCAUAGAUAUGACACAGAACACCGAUAGCGAAGGCAGCGUACUAGGGAAUUACUGACACUGAUGCACGAAAGCGUGGGGAGCGAACAGG